ACGGUGGUACGGUGCCUGUCUGGGUGGACAAAAGCUUGGGACUUGGCAGGCGGCUUUAUGGUGUUGGUGGUCGCGGUGGCUGCGUUCGUUGAGCGGCCAACGCUGUGGUUGACGGAUGGUGGGAUUAUAUCUAGGACGCUGUGGUUGACGAAGGUCGUGGCGAUCGGAGUCGGAGCAGACUAGCAGAGAAGGGAGGGAUCCGAGCAGGCAAGGGGUGGAGUUGGGUGGGGUUCGGAUUCCGACUCGACGUCGCGCCCACCAUCAAAGGGGAACGUGAAAGAACCGACAGUGACAGACAGAUGGAUGGCGAGACGAAGAAGAAGAGGUAUAGAUGGCCAUUUGGCACUAACACGAUGGGCCGGCCCAGGCACGGCACGAAAAAGCACGGUCCAGGCACGACCCGGUCCGAUUAGUAUAGUGUCGUGCCUGGGCCACUAUCUCGACCCGUAGUGCUGGCACGGGCACGACACGGUUACAUUUUUUAUUUUAAAAAUAAUAGUUUACAUAUAUUAAUUAUAAGAAUUCAAUGUAUAACACAAUAAAACUGUAGUUGCACUGGUUAGAUGGAUACGUUUAAGCCUCUUAUGCACUAGGUUGUGAGUUCGAGCCCCCACAACUACAUAUUUUUUGCUAAAUUCUACAAUAUACUCAGAUGGGCUAUAGUGCCACCGGGCCGGCCCGGCACGACUAACAGACUCACGGGCCGUGCCUGGGCCGCGGCAGCGGCACGCCGGCCCAUCUGAGCACGGCACGGUUCGCUAGCCGGGCCUGGCGGGCCGUGCCGGGUCGGGCCGUGCCGGCCCGUUUGGCCAUCUAUAAGAAGAGGACAUACAGAUGGGCGAAGAACAAAUUACAAAUUAG
rnacentral:lncRNA from 1 species